rnacentral:rRNA from 1 species
CCUACGGGCGGCAGCAGUGAGGAAUAUUGGUCAAUGGACGCAAGUCUGAACCAGCCAUGCCGCGUGCGGGAAGACGGCUCUAUGAGUUGUAAACUGCUUUUGUACGAGGGUAAACGCAGAUACGCGUAUCUGUCUGAGAGUAUCCUACGAAUAAGGAUCGGCUAACUCCGUGCCAGCAGCCGCGUUAAUACGGAGGAGUCAAGCGUUAUCCGGAUUUAUUGGGUUUAAGGGGGGCGUAGGCGGUCGGAUAAGUUAGAGGUGAAAUGCCGAGGCUCAACUUCGGAAGUGCCUCUGAUACUGUUAGGCUAGAGAGUAGUAGCGGUAGGCGGAAUGUAUGGUGUAGCGGUGAAAUGCUUAGAGAUCAUACAGAACACCGAUUGCGAAGGCAGCUUACCAAGCUACAUCUGACGUUGAGGCACGAAAGCGUGGGGAGCAAACAGGAUUAGAUACCCCUGUAGUC